rnacentral:rRNA from 1 species
GACGAACCGUCCUAACGUUGUUCGGAUUCACUGGGCUUAAAGGGCGCGUAGGCGGGCCAGAGGGUCCGGGGUGAAAUCUUUCGGCUUAACCGGGAAAAGUGCCCCGGAAACCGCUGGCCUCGAGGGAGGUAGGGGCAUGUGGAACUUCUGGUGGAGCGGUGGAAUGCGCAGAUAUCAGGAAGAACACCAACGGCGAAGGCAGCUCGCUGGGACGGAACUGACGCUAAGGCGCGAAAGCGUGGGGAGCGAACAGG